UCCCGUUGAUCCUGCGGGAGGUUGCUGCUAUAGGGGUUCGACUAACACAUGCAAGUCUGGGGGCCUUCGGGUCACCGGCGAAAUGCUCAGUAACACGUCAUUAAUCUGCCCUUAGGUCUGGAAUAACCAUGGGAAACUGUGGCUAAUACCGGAUAUGAGAAUAUGGCUGGAAUGCUUUUUCUUUCAAAAGCAAUGCCUAAGGAUGAGAUGGCGGCUGAUUAGGCAGUUGGUGGGGUAACGGCCCACCAAACCUACGAUCAGUAGGGGCCCUGAGAGGGGUAGCCCCGAGAAGGGUACUUAGACACUGACCCUAGCCCUACGGGGUGCAGCAGGUGCGGAACCUUUACAAUGCACGCAAGUGUGAUAAGGGAACCCUUAGUGCUUAUGUAUUGCAUAGGCUUUUUUCGAGAGUAAAUAUCUCGGAGAAUAAGUGGUGGGUAAGACUGGUGCCAGCAGCCGCGGUAACACCAGCGCCACGAGUGGCAACCACAAUUAUUGGGCCUAAAGCGUCCGUAGCCGGCCUUGUAAAUUCUAUGUGAAAUCGUUGAGCUUCACUCAACGGCGUGCAUGGAACACUGCAAGGCUCGAGACCAAGAGGAGUCAGAGGUAUUCUGGGGGGAGCGGUAAAAUGCUAUAAUCCCUGGAGGACCACCUGUGGCGAAGGCGUCUGACCAGAAUGGUUCUGACGGUGAGGGACGAAAGCUAGGGGAGCAAACCGGAUUAGAUACCCGAUUAGUCCUAGCUGUAAACUCUGCGAGCUAGGUGUUGUGUAUUCUACGUGAAUACGCAGUAUCGAAGCGAAGGCGAAAAGCUCGCCGCCUGGGAAGUACGGUCGCAAGACUGAAACUUAAAGGAAUUGGCGGGGGAGCACCACAAGGGGUGCGGCGUGCGGUUUAAUUUAACUCAACACAGAGAAUCUCACUAGAGGCGACGGCAGUAUGAUGGUCAGUCUGAAGGGCUUACCUGACGAGCCGAGAGGUAGUGCAUGGCCGCCGUCAGCUCGUGCUGUGAGGUGUCCAGUUAAGUCUGGCAACGAGCGAGACCCACACCUACAAUUGCUAACUGAUCAGAAAUGAUGCCAGAGAACAUUGUAGGGACUGCCCGGGAAACUGGGAGGAAGGCGUGGGCCACGGUAGGUCUGUAUGCUCCGAAUCUUCUAGGCUACACGCGCGCAACAAUGGUUGGGACAAUGGGAUACGACUCCGAAAGGAGAAGUCAAACCUCUAAACCCAAUCUUAGUCCAGAUUGAGGGUUGUAACUCACCCUCAUGACGAUGGAAUCCCUAGUAAUCGGGUGUUAUCAGCGCCCGGUGAAUAUGUCCCUGCUCCUUGCACACACCGCCCGUCAAACCAUCCGAGCAGGGUUUAGAUGAGAACUAGUUUUUUGACUAGGGCGAAUCUAAGCUCAGUGAGGCGGGUUAAGUCGUCACAAGGUA
rnacentral:rRNA from 1 species